UCUUCCGUAGUAUAGUGGUCAGUAUGUGAGCUUGUCAUUCCCCCUUCUCGGGCAGUCCAAUUCGCUCGAGACCCGGGUUCAAUCCCCGGCGGGAGAG